rnacentral:ncRNA from 2 species
UCUUUCUCAACGGGGUGCUGUUAAAAGGCUGAGAUAACUAAACCCGUAUACCUGAACCAGAUAAUGCUGGCGUAGGAAUUGAGCUUAUCAGUAUU